rnacentral:rRNA from 1 species
UACGGGGGGGGGCAAGCGUUGUUCGGAAUUACUGGGCGUAAAGGGUUAGUAGGUGGCCAACUAAGUCAGACGUGAAAUCCCUCAGCUUAACUGGGGAACUGCGUCUGAGACUGAUUGGCUCGAGGAGCAGGAGAGGAACGCGGAAUUCCAGGUGUAGCGGUGAAAUGCGUAGAUAUCUGGAGGAACACCGGUGGCGAAGGCGGCGUUCUGGACUGUUUCUGACACUGAAUAACGAAAGCCAGGGGAGCAAACGGGAGUUAGAU